UUUAUGGAGAGUUUGAUCCUGGCUCAGGAUGAACGCUGGCGGCGUGCCUAAUACAUGCAAGUCGAGCGAACGGACGAGAAGCUUGCUUCUCUGAUGUUAGCGGCGGACGGGUGAGUAACACGUGGAUAACCUACCUAUAAGACUGGGAUAACUUCGGGAAACCGGAGCUAAUACCGGAUAAUAUUUUGAACCGCAUGGUUCAAAAGUGAAAGACGGUCUGGCUAUCACUUAUAGAUGGACCCGCGCCGUAUUAGCUAGUUGGUAAGGUAACGGCUUACCAAGGCAACGAUACGUAGCCGACCUGAGAGGGUGAUCGGCCACACUGGAACUGAGACACGGUCCAGACUCCUACGGGAGGCAGCAGUAGGGAAUCUUCCGCAAUUUGCGGGAGCCUGACGGAGCAACGCCGCGUGAGUGAUGAAGGUCUUCGGAUCGUAAAACUCUGUUAUUAGGGACGGGCAAACGUGUAAGUAACUGUGCACGUCUUGACGGUACCUAAUCAGAAAGCCACGGCUUAAUCCAUGCCAGCAGCCGCGGUAAUACGUAGGUGGCAAGCGUUAUCCGGAAUUAUUGGGCGUAAAGCGCGCGUAGGCGGUUUUUUAAGUCUGAUGUGAAAGCCCACGGCUCAACCGUGGAGGGUCAUUGGAAACUGGAAAAUACCAAUGCAGAAGAGGAAAGUGGAAUUCCAUGUGUAGCGGUGAAAUGCGCAGAGAUAUGGAGGAACACCAGUGGCGAAGGCGACUUUCUGGUCUGUAACUGACGCUGAUGUGCGAAAGCGUGGGGAUCAAACAGGAUUAGAUACCCUGGUAGUCCACGCCGUAAACGAUGAGUGCUAAGUGCCGGGGAAUUUCAACCCCUUAGUGCUGCAGCUAACGCAUUAAGCACUCCGCCUGGGGAGUACGACCGCAAGGUUGAAACUCAAAGGAAUUGACGGGGACCCGCACAAGCGGUGGAGCAUGUGGUUUAAUUCGAAGCAACGCGAAGAACCUUACCAAAUCUUGACAUCCUUUGACAACUCUAGAGAUAGAGUCUUCCCCUUCGGGGGACAAAGUGACAGGUGGUGCAUGGUUGUCGUCAGCUCGUGGCUGGGGGUCAAGGGUUAAGUCCCGCAACGAGCGCAACCCUUAAGCUUAGUUGCCAUCAUUAAGUUGGGCACUCUAAGUUGACUGCCGGUGAUAAACCGGAGGAAGGUGGGGAUGACGUCAAAUCAUCAUGCCCCUUAUGAUUUGGGCUACACACGUGCUACAAUGGACAAUACAAAGGGCAGCGAAACCGCGAGGUCAAGCAAAUCCCAUAAAGUUGUUCUCAGUUCGGAUUGUAGUCUGCAACUCGACUACAUGAAGCUGGAAUCGCUAGUAAUCGUAGAUCAGCAUGCUACGGUGAAUACGUUCCCGGGUCUUGUACACACCGCCCGUCACACCACGAGAGUUUGUAACACCCGAAGCCGGUGGAGUAACCAUUUAGGAGCUAGCCGUCGAAGGUGGGACAAAUGAUUGGGGUGAAGUCGUAACAAGGUAGCCGUAUCGGAAGGUGCGGCUGGAU
rnacentral:rRNA from 1 species